AUGGUACAAGCUAAAGGCAUAGAGAUAGCGACGAAAACGCCAGAUCGUGCCAUCAAGAAAAAGAUAUCUAGGUGGUGGCUACAUGUAGACCUUCUCAUGCAACUCACGAUUAAGAAAGACAUUCUUGACAUCAAGCUGAGAGACAGAUCACUGGCGAACAAAUAUCACAACGAGAAGUGUGAGGAGUGGUCAUGUGGGCCAUAUAAGCAAAUGUUUCAUCUUAGUCAUAGCCAUGAUCAUGUUGAAAGCCAGAGGUCACAAGACGAGCUUUCUUACGCAAGAGAACCAUCAGAGUCUAAAUCUUGUAGACCCACUUACAAGAUACAAGUGAUUGGAUGA
rnacentral:rRNA from 1 species